ensembl:lncRNA
CCAAGGAAACGCUUUAAGCUCCACCUGCUGGCAGAGAGUGAAUCUGCGUCUCGUUCAGCUCGUCUGCUGUUUCUGUUUCAUGCUGAUGUUUUUGUGUGUAGUUUCACAAAACUGAAGUUAAAUAAUUCUGUUUUUGGAAAGAGCACAGACAAAGCCUUAUUUUGUUUAUAUGAAGAGAUUUCUUUUAUUUGUGUUACUUAUUUAUUUGAUUUGGGGCUUGUUAUAAAAUUUCAAUUUAGUUUUUUUAUUUACAUUUACAUUAUAUUUAAAUUUGAUUAUUUGGCAGACGCUUUUAUCCAAAGCGACUUACAGAUGAGGACAACAGAAGCAAUCAAAACCAACAAAAGAGCAAUAAUAUGCUAUAUUAGUAUAUUAUUAGAGUUAUAUUUCAAUUUCACAAAGAAACAUACAGCAUUUUGUCCAAGCAAUAAUAAAAGGACACAUUUAAUUUGUCUUAAAUUUCAUUUAGUUAAAAAAAUAAUAAUAAUUGUGAAUCUAAUCAAAUUGUGAAAUCAAAAUCGUGAAUCGAAUCGAACCGUGAGUUGAGUGAAUCGUUACAUCCCUAGUCUUGACAUGUUUCAUGACAAACAUUUCCUGACACUUUAAAUGUAUGAUAACCUUGUAGUUUGAGUUUGACCAUGGGCUGAACGACAUGCUUUUUUCUUUUGGGGUGAAUGAAGUCGAGACCAGGACAUGAAAAUAUGUUUUUAGACUUAGACUCAAGGUGGACUACACACUGUCAUGAUCACCCAUUUUUUGGGUGAUCACUCUCUUAAUCCUAAUUCUAUCCUAAUUCUAUCCUAAUUCUCUAACCUCAUGUGUUUUGGGGCAUUUACAUAGCUCUGAGAUCAGUUGGAGAGUAGCUAGCUGAAGUGGGAGAACUGGUCAUAGAUAUUCAGUGCGAGGGCCUUUGGCCUGACUCUAGUCUCUGUGUUCAGUGGUGGCCACACAUUGCCUUUAAAAGGGCAUAUUUGAGCAGUGAUGUUCGUGUCUUUUCAUGUUUGAGGUGGAGGUUUAGAGAGCUGAGUCAUAGGGAUCAUGUUUGAGCCAGGAGCUGUUAUGAUGGUUUGGAUUACUAACAGAGUUCUGGGUGACUGUGCUCUUGUGUGGGGAUUACCCACAUACUUUGGCUUCCAGUUUUCUUUCUCCAACUUUCUUUCUUUCUUUUCCAUAUGUAACUCCCCCCUGGAAGCUGGCACUGCUCCCUUCAUCUCAUUGGUCUUCUUCCCCUUCUGAUUCAGUUUCCUCAAAUGUUCCCCCUCCUCAUGAUGAACAUGAAUUAUCUCCUAGCAGGUACCCUUCUGCCAUCACUUACUCACCCUCAUGUCAUUUUUUUUUUUAAACCUGUAUGAAUUAUUUAUUUUGUGGAGCACAAAAGAAAUUUUUUUUAGCGUCCAAAUUUUUGUCAAUAUGCUCCAAACUUUUAUGCUCCAAAAAAAGAUAUUGUGAAAUUAAUCCAUACAAGUAAAAUAGCAUCUUCAAACUACAGACGAUGUCACCAUACACUAAGACAACAUCAAAUAUAGUGACACAAGCAUCCAAUGUCAUGUGGUUUGGUCACGUGAUGUGUGAGAACCAGUGAGAUUUAAUGUUAUUGACGUUUGAGGUUUGUGUUGCCAUAUUGAGCUAUUCCAAUGUGGUGACCAAUUCAAAUAUCAAUCUCAGUCUAAAGGUCUUUGCACACUGAGUCUGAAAUUUUCAUAUGCAUUUUUUCAUAUUUUUCAUUGUAAAAAUUUGUCAUGCACAGAAACCUUGCACAUUGAUAGGCAUUAAUUAAUCCAUUGCAAAAAAAAAAAAAAAAAACAUUUCGCAAAACAAUACAAAAUGGAGUCUUCACGCAGGGAGGAUGAUUUUGUUGUCCUCUCGCUUUUUAGGUAAAAGAGGAAAUAUUGGGUCCAUCUAAUGUUGAGAUUGUGUAGAGAGGAAGGAGAUACACCUGGCUCCAACUCCAACACACCUGGCUGUUGUUUUCUAGCAGUCCUGAACACCUUGAUUGUGUUUGUUAGGUUUGAUUAACUUUGGAGCUAAACUCUGCAUGAAGGUAGCCCACAGCUUCAACGCACCUUCAUGGAAGUUUAGUGAUCCAAAGAGUGUGUUUAGCUGGUUUAGAUUUGUUCAGUUAGGGGUUGGAGCUAAUCUCCAGAUGGUGGCCCUCCAGGAGAAAAAUUGGGCCCCAUUUCAUUAGUACCAAUCAACAUGUGAGUGAAGGGGACAGGCUGUAAGUGUGGCGGUCCAACAGUUUAGGAUUUAGGCAACCUUGAACAGAGAAAAACAGCUGUUAUACAACAGCAGCACACUGAAGUCUGGUGUUCAUGGCUUGAAGCCCAAUUUAAGAAUCUCUGCAAGAGCCAAACAAAUUAUGUCACAUUCACAAUUACAGGGAGACUGAAGAGAGGGCAGGAAAUUAGAUGUAUAUGUAACAACACAAGAAAGGAGAGGAGGGAGAGAGAAAACCUAAGAGAGAUGGUAAGGAACGAAGAGCAUUUUCAGAAGAGUGAAAAGUCAAGAGUAGCAUUUCAUGAGCGGUGAUGAACAGCACGGUAACACACAAUGCCAAUAGUGUUGUAUUUAUUGUGAAACUUUUUUAUUUAUUUAUAGUAUUAUGACCUAAACUUAAAGGUGCAUUCAGUAUGUUUUUAGUUAGCGUUAGCAUUGUUGUUCUUUGCAUAUACUUUAAGAAGUUUCUACAGUGAGUUUAGUUUUAAUUUUCUGUCCACCAGAUGUAAAUAAAGUAGUAGUUCACCUGAGCAUCGCAACACACUGCAUGAUUUCAUUCAUGUCUGCAUCAUAAAUAAACUGGGUGUUCCCAUAGAGCGCUUCCAUGCUAGCACUGUAAAACAUUGUUUUUCUGUGUUUUGUACUGAGAAAUCAGGGGCGUGUUCCUCACUGUGUGCUGCACCUGCAGUAACAGAGAAAACACCUGCAGUGUCUCUGACCGCACCACAGAUAUUUGGGGCCUCAGGAGGUACUUUAAAUGAUUUGAAAGGUGCAAGGUGCACUUUUGUUCUGCCCUGAGACCUGCAGCACUUUACAGCUCUAUUGUUCUGCCACUUGUGUAAUGCAGAGGUGAAGGGGACCGCCUUAAGUGUCUCACACACACACACACACACACACACACACACACACACACACACACACACACACACACACACACACACACACACCAUCUCUAUUAUCUUUUUAGAGAUAUAAAUAGAAACUUUUAGGCCUAUUUUGAUAUCCUAAAUGCUGAUAAAUGCUGGAUUAGAUGAAGUGUACUGAAGUGCCUGUAAGAAACACCCUGUGAAAAGAAAAAUCACAACUGAGAUCUUUUUAAUGUGGUGUGCAAAUUAAGAAUUUAGCUUAGGCCCUAUCCCAAAUGGCACCCUUCAUGUGCAUGUGUGGUCCUGCGGAUUUACAAAGGUUGCUGCAUACAUGUGUCUGUGAAGUCCACAAGAACUUAGGGUGUCCUAUUUGUCAUUUUAGGUUACAGAAGGUUCCUCACAAGCCCUUCUGUGACCUAUAUGUGCCCAUGAGGCGAGCUCUAUAUUAUGGCAUUAUGUCAUGAAGGUAUGGAUUUGGAGGAAAUCUGUGAGGGCUUAGGGUGUCAUUUGGGACAUGUGCAGAAGUGCCUCG